GAGUGUGGGAGGUUUCAUGUUUCUUAGACGGAGUACGUCUGGCGCUGCGUGACAUAGAGCGUGACAGUGUUGUGUCACGCACUGCAAAGAACACUUCCUGAUUUUUAUUGGGGAGUUCAUAUGACGGUGAUAUGCCAAGAGGUCUACCUUCCACAUAAAACAGCCUACCCGCCUCUGAUACGUGGCGGCUAUUCGGGAACUGUUCCAGCUAUGUAAACAACCCCAGAAUGUGACGAUUGAGGACCAAUAUUGAAAACAACUCAAGCAAAUCGUACAAGGCGCCUAGAUCGAAAUACGCAGUAGUUUUAAAACCUAAAGUAGAUAAAUGCUGUUAGCUAAUCGCUUUAGAGCAACUGAUAAGAUCAUGACGAGGAAAUAAGGCCACACGUUACAUGAUUACAUGUUCGUGUACUGCGAAAAGGAUUUUCACAAAUUGCACAAUAAAAACACCACAUAAUUUAUG